rnacentral:rRNA from 1 species
UUGCUAGUAAUCGCGGAUCAGCAUGCCGCGGUGAAUACGUUCCCGGGCCUUGUACACACCGCCCGUCACACCAUGGGAGCCGGUAAUACCCGAAGUCAGUAGUCCCAACCUCGGUGAGGACGCUGCCGAAGGUAGGAUUGGCGACUGGGGUGAAGUCGUAACAAGGUAAC